CCUACGGGUGGCAGCAGUGAGGAAUAUUGGUCAAUGGACGCAAGCCUGAACCAGCCAUGCCGCGUGCAGGAAGACGGCCCUAUGAGUUGUAAACUGCUUUUGUACGAGGGUAAACUCAGAUACGCGUAUCUUUCUGAAUGUACCGUACGAAUAAGGAUCGGCUAACUCCGUGCCAGCAGCCGCGGUAAUACGGAGGAUCCGAGCGUUAUCCGGAUUUAUUGGGUUUAAAGGGAGCGUAGGUGGUCGGUUGAGUUAGUGGUGAAAGCCCGCGGCUCAACCUCAGAAUUGCAUCUGAUACUGGUAGGCUAGAGUGUAGUUGAGGUAGGCGGAAUGUGUGGUGUAGCGGUGAAAUGCUUAGAGAUCAGGAAGAACACCGAUUGCGAAGGCAGCUUACUAAACUACCACUGACGUUGAGGCACGAAAGCGUGGGGAGCAAACAGGAUUAGAUACCCUGGUAGUC
rnacentral:rRNA from 1 species